UACGGAGGGGGCUAGCGUUGUUCGGAAUUACUGGGCGUAAAGCGCACGUAGGCGGAUUAGUAAGUCAGGGGUGAAAUCCCGUUGCUCAACCUCGGAACUGCCUUUGAUACUGCUGAUCUAGAGUCCGGAAGAGGGGAGUGGAAUUCCUAGUGUAGAGGUGAAAUUCGUAGAUAGUAGGAAGAACACCAGUGGCGAAGGCCGCUCACUGGUCCAGUACUGACGCUGAGGUGCGAAAGCGUGGGGAGCAAACAGG
rnacentral:rRNA from 1 species